GAUGAACGCUAGCUACAGGCUUAACACAUGCAAGUCGAGGGGCAGCAUGGGCUUAGCUUGCUAAGCCCGAUGGCGACCGGCGCACGGGUGAGUAACACGUAUCCAACCUUCCGGUAACUCCGGUAUAGCCUUUCGAAAGAAAGAUUAAUCCCGGAUAGUAUAGUGAUUCCGCAUGGUUUCUCCAUUAGAGGAUUCCGGUUACCGAUGGGGAUGCGUUCCAUUAGGCAGUUGGCGGGGUAACGGCCCACCAAAACCUACGAUGGAUAGGGGUCCUGAGAGGGAGGUCCCCCGCAUUGGAACUGAGACACGGUCCAA
rnacentral:rRNA from 1 species